GAAAUGCGAUAAGUAAUGUGAAUUGCAGAAUUCAGCGAAUCAUCGAAUCUUUGAACGCACAUUGCGCCCGCCAGCACUCUGGCGGGCAUGCCUGUUCGAGCGUCAUUUCAACCCUCAGAACCCCUUGCGGGAUCUGGCGUUGGGGAUUGGCAUCCAGCCAGCCCCGAAAUCUAGCGGCGGUCCCUCCGCGACCUCCCCUGUGCAGUAGCGAUACCUCGCAGCGGGACAGCGGUCUGACCACGCCGUAAAACCCCCAACUUCUCAAGGUUGACCUCGAAUCAGGUAGGAAUACCCGCUGAACUUAAGC
rnacentral:misc_RNA from 1 species